GUGGGCGAGGACAAACACCGUGCCGGGAAUGGAGAUCGAAAAGUAGCCGCUGAUUUUCUGGAGCCGAGAAAACCUGUGUUUUUGCGCUUAGGUUGCUUUUAUCUGACUGAAACUUUACCUAGAAGCUUUUGGAGCUCAGACACUGAGUCUUUGUUCUGCAAGGAACUGCGGCUGCCACUUAAAGAGAUCUCAGAUAAUGUCCCCGAUUGAAGAUCAGUGCUCGACGCACAUUAAUUUUCUUUCUUUCUUUCUUUCUUUCUCUUUUUAAAGCUCUGCCUUCGACCUGUGGCGGGAUCACGCGGCAGUAGGGGGCAGAUAGAAGCCCUUUGGACGAGGGUCACCUCCGUCCUUGUUGUUCACUUGAGAGCAGUGGAGAGGAAAACGGUCCCCACUGGCGGACUUUGGCUUCUGGAGCCCCGGGACCCACCGGUCCAGGCCUCCCCACGCCUCCUCCUGGUAGGGGAUGAGGAGGGGGGACGGGGGAGGGGGAGGGGAAGGAACUAGAAGAAGGAUUUGGGGAUCUAAGCUAGAAGCGCUAACGAGACCUGAGGGGAGAGUUUGCCGUCUCCUCCAGGUCAGACCGAGGGUGACUUGUGAGCGCUGGGUAGAGGAGGUGAAUCUCGGCCUAGUUUGUUUGCUCA
rnacentral:lncRNA from 1 species